UUAACGCUAGCGGCAGGCCUAAUACAUGCAAGUCGAACGGGAUUGGUUGUAGCAAUACGACCAUUAGAGUGGCGCACGGGUGCGUAACACGUAUGCAACCUACCUGUAACUGGGGGAGUAGCCUCCCGAAAGGGAGAUUAAUACCGCAUAACAUUGCGAAGUGGCAUCACUUUGCAAUUAAACCUCCGGGGGUUACAGAUGGGCAUGCGUCCGAUUAGCUAGUUGGUGAGGUAACGGCUCACCAAGGCUCCGAUCGGUAGGGGGUCUGAGAGGAUGAUCCCCCCACACUGGUACUGAGACACGGACCAGACUCCUACGGGAGGCAGCAGUAAGGAAUAUUGGACAAUGGGCGCAAGCCUGAUCCAGCCAUGCCGCGUGAAGGAUGAAGGCCCUAUGGGUCGUAAACUUCUUUUAUACGGGAAAAACCCCUUGAUGCGUCGAGGUUGAUGGUACUGUAAGAUAAGGUCGGCUAACUCGUGCCAGCAG
rnacentral:rRNA from 1 species